rnacentral:lncRNA from 1 species
AGCACACCAGGGAUCCACUUUUGAAGAAGAACUGGAGGCCUAUGAAUCUGAGGGAAGAACGAGAAACCUUGAACUCAGGAGCCCACGCCUCAGGCACACGGAAGACAUCUGGAUGCCCAUCACCACCACCACCACCACCACCACCGAGGUCCCUGGGCAAGCAGUUUACCCAGCACUCUCAGGAGCAUGAACUGCAUCCCCACUGCCAGGGUUUUAUCUUCUUUCUUCACACCUCUGCCAGGAAAGACACGGUUGUAUGAGGAUGGACUGAGAGACUCAGCCCCAGCGCCAAGCAGCAGCAGGGUCUCAAUAGGUCUUGUGUGAUGCCUGCAAUUUGAUGGGUAGAGCAGCCAAUGAAGAAGAGCGGCACGCUGAAGAGCAGACACAACAGCGAGCCGAGGAGGCAGAGGGCACUGCACUGCACCGGGCUCAGGUGGAGGCGCUUGACUAAGACACCUCCCAUCAUGAUGCCCACGAUGACCAGAGGGAUAGUGAGGCAGCCAAGGAGCAUGUUGGCAAAGGAGGCUGUGAUGGAAAACUGGCGUUCCAGGAACUUAGGCAGGAAGGUGGCCAUGCCCGCUACCAUGGAUGAGGUGCACACCUGGGACAGGACUACCAGCAAGAAGAUGGGGUGGCGCAGAUUCCGCAGCAGCACCCUAGGGAAGACUGUCGGGACAAGCGGGAAGGAGGUCAGCGUGGGCAGCCAGCCACAGUAUCCACAUCUGUCCAGCCCGCCCCAUCUGUUCCGUUCUCUCUCUUCCAUUCCGUUUAAGUCUAGCGUGUCCCAUGCUAUCACAUUACGUUGGACUCUUUUCCCGUCCUGCUCUAGUUUUGAAAUUCUCCUCACGCCUUUCAGUUCAGAGUUACGUGGGAGUUUAUUAAAUGUGUUUAUUUCUGUUCGGGUCUGUUUGAGUCGA